rnacentral:lncRNA from 1 species
GACAUCUGUACGAUACUUCCAUUUGUACUGGUAUAUAAGACACGAGUUGUGCUAGUCUUAGUAUCUCAUCUUAGGAUGGAUCGGUAUUCCUUCAUAGGAAUCUCCUAAAGUCUUCUUGCCGUUCACCACUAACCCACAGACUGUAACCCUUAUAUCGCGACCAGUCUCCUUGCCUCCUUCAUAUUCUUAACAGGUUAUGAGCCCCGGCUCACGCUAGUAGCUUACAUAGCUAGCGCGAAGAAGGCAUAGGACGCCUGCAAGCAAUUACAGUUGGACUUUUACGUUUGGGAGUAGGACACAUUAUCAGUGAUUCUGAGCGGGCACAGACUUUGCUUGUUGGUUUGCCCAGCC